rnacentral:misc_RNA from 1 species
UUUAAUAAGUUUUAGUUAUAAGAACACUAAUACAACAAAACAAUUUUUUUUCAAACUGCUUUUCUUAACAACAUAUAAAAUGGUGCUUUUAUUCGGAAAAACAGUUUUGGCCUCCCAAACUCAAUACCAAAUAGACACUUAAUAGAAUUGGAUAAUGAGAUUUAGCUAAUUAAACAAUAUCUUGUAUUUUAAAGAUUAACAUUUCGUGCAUGAGAGAAUUCACGUAUCAGUUACCAACCUCGGUACAGUAAUUAAAAAAAAUAUAGGCAACUGUUUCAUGUGCUGGAGGUACAAAAAAGAGUAUCUUUCUUACUAAUACCGUAACCAAAGCACUUUGCAUCUACUUUGUUAAUAAUCAAACUGAAAAUUUUGUUAUACAAUGUCUAAAUCAGAAUCUUGUUGGGACUUGGGCAGGAAUUUAAUGAGGGCCGUGUUACUGCAUAAUUUUGUUAUAAUCCAUAAAUAAAAAUUAGACAUCAUGCACAAAGUAGUGAAAACACUAUAAUCUAUAAUAGUUCGUGCAAUUUAUGAAGCAAACCUUCUGUCCGGGCAUUUGAUUUCA